rnacentral:rRNA from 1 species
UGGCGGACGGGUGAGUAAUGUCUGGGAAACUGCCCGAUGAGGGGGAGUAACUACUGGAAACGGUAGCUAAUACCGCAUAACGUCGCAAGACCAAAGAGGGGGACCUUCGGGCCUCGCGCCAUCAGAUGAACCCAUAUGGGAUUAGCUUGUAGGUAAGGUAACGGCUUACCUAGGCGACGAUCCCUAGCUGGUCUGAGAGGAUGACCAGCCACACUGGAACUGAGACACGGUCCAG